UUCAGUGAGCUUAAGGACCAGAGAUCCUAGUGAUUGCCCCAAAGUCACACAGCAGGAGCGCAUGCUGAUGAAGAACCGGGGUCUAGCUCCUUCCUCAGGCCUCUCGUAGGCUCCUCAGUUCGACUCCACAGCUGUCUAUGCCCCGGAUUCUGCAUCCUCUGGCCUGCCCCCUGCUCUCCAGAGCCCCCUCCAUGAAUGCAUAGAGAUUGCAGCUGUAGCCUGAGGGAUAGAAGACAGGCAGACUUGAAGAACUCUGGACCUCCAUGAGGGACGGCUGUGAUCUCAGUAGCUAGUUGGUAUACCUAAAGGCAUUCUGCCCUGUCCAAUCUCCACUCCAGGAUGGAGGAAUGUCUCUGGCAAGCACCCCUGAGGCCCCCCCCCCCACUGUUCUCAGCAUGGAAUGAAAGGCCUGUGGACUUCGUCUGUCAUCAUAGAAAGAUCCCACAUCCGGGAAGGCUGGCAGUGACAUCACUUGCAGCUUUGGACCAGGUGUGCAGCCUGCGAUUGCUGUGCCCUGCUCCCUGCAGCUGUAAAGGUCUCACUGAGAUCUGGGGGAGGGGAGGACUUUGGGAGGGUACAGAGAGGUAGAGAGCCAGAAACUAGAGUCUUCCUCCCACCUACGGAUUCCUCUGUCCCAUGCUGGCUUCUUAGCAUGCUUUUUCAGGACAAGAUCAGUCUCUUUGAAGUCCAAGGGGUCUGGUGACAAGGGGCCCGAGGAGGCUGAAGUGCUGUGGGAAGGACCCCGCAGAAGGUCAGGCGUAUGAUGCCAGCCGACAGCAGGAAGAUGUUUAGUGGGUGUCUUGACCCUUUUUUGAAGCCUCUGGCGGUUUCCACUGUGUGAGGAUGCUCUGCUCCCAGAGUCUGGAGUAAGCAGACCUCCUGUGGGUCUACGCAGAGUAGAUUACUGUGAAGGCUCCUCGCUACUGAUAGGCCUGGCUUCAAGGUCUGUGUCCCCUCCCAUAGAGGAAAUCCUCACAGAGCCCCUGCUGCUGACAGGAAUCUCUCCUUCCUCCACACCUUCAGGAGUGAGCUUGUAUGUUCCCUGGGACCUGGCUGCUGGGCCUUGUUUUACUGUGUCUGAGCUCCUAGCCACCUCUCCAUGGAGCUUUAGACAGAGAUUUGUCUCCUUGGAAACAAGAGGAUAGAGGUGGAGGCCUGAGCUUUGUGUAGUUCCAGCUUUCUUAGCUACCCCUACUCCCGGGAACUGUAGAAUAUUCCUGGCCGCCAAGCAGGUGCCAUUUGGACAGGGCUCACAAGGCAGCCAUUGUUCCCAUCAAAACGUCUGUGCUACUGGUUCAAGGUGAGGUACUUCCCCUUCCUGAGUCUCAGUGACCAAGAGACUCCUGGACUGAACAAUACAAGAAAUGCUCAGAAGUGAGUUUAGUCCCCGGGAGAGCCCUGCACCUCUGUCGUGCAUUGAUGACCACCAGUGCCAAUCUGUACAAACCACUUCUUAGCCUCUGCUGCUUUAACCUCUGGGCUCAUCUCUUUGCCAGUCCCAUGACCAGAGACCCUGGUUUGUCUUUGUGGUCCUCUCACCUGGCACAGGGAUGGGCCCAUCACAUAGCACAUGCCCUGUAAGAGCUCACGGAGAUGAAAUGACCAAGAAGAGUUGGGAGGGACUCGGGCACAAAGGAGUGUGCACGGGGACAGGCUCACUGGGAAGUGGAAGGGACAAAAGUGGAAGGAACUGAGUCCAACGGAAAGGUAAAAGGGGGUUCCAGAGAGGGUGACUGUGGCCAAGGUCAUGUGAAGGUUAGUGGCAGAGCUCCGUCUUGAACCUCUGACUCAUCUGCAUUUGAGAUGGCAGGCUAGCAGGAAAGGUUGAAAAGCAAAGAGGAAUAAGGGAUGAAGCCUGGUCCUGGGAAGUUUGGGUUGAUGGAGAAAGCCUCCGGGUCCAUUCUGGACUAGGUGAGAGUACCCUGGGACAGGGGCAAGAGAUGCAACCCAAAAACCCCUGAGUGGCUCCAACCGAGCGACUCAGGAAGAAAACCAAAGUCAUAGACGGUCUUUCAGAGCCAGGCUUCCUCACAGGUCACUAUUCCUGAUGAUCUCUCUGUUUUCCUCUCUGAAGCCAUGGGUCUGGAACCAGCAGGUCCCUAUAGCCCCAUAGGGGAUUAAAGAAUUACCCAUAGCAUGCCCAAGGGACAGAGCCGAGCACAGGAGCUGAGGCUGAGGUAGGGGCUAACCUGAGAAGUUUCUGGUUUUCCAGUACGCAGUGCUCCCUCAUUGUAAUGGUUUCUGGGUGUUUUCUCCAGAACACUGGAGGGGAUGGCUGGGGAGCUGCUGUGUCUCGGAAUCCCUUCUUUUUCACAAGUCAGCCAUUUUGGCAGCAUGACUUCGGACAGAGCCCCUGCUAAAAGGAGACCAAUCAACGGAGCUGUGUAACUCUCACGCACAUUUGCUUUCUGAUACAGGAACAGAGGAUAACAACGUGCAACCUAAGUGGAUGUAGGGACACUGAGGCACAGAAAGUAGAUGCGUGAGGGAAGGGAGGUCUUGGAAGCUCUCUUGGCAAAGAGGAAACUGGGGCAUGGCAAGAGAAGGUAGUCUGGUACCAACUUGAGCCAGAUCUCACUUCCCACACUCUGCCCACCCAACUCUGCCCAAUGCCAGUUUGUACCCUGUACUGGAGAACGGUGGGCCUUGGGUGUUGCUUGAGGCUAAGAAGCUAGCUGGCAGCCUGGGAGAGACAUGGAAGAGAAACAAUGAGAAGCCAGGAAACUUUAGUCCUGAGGCCAGAGGGUCUGAGGGAGGUCAUGGAGGACGGUCAUUCCUCACCGAGCAAAAGGGAGGGCGGCAGGGGUGCAGAGUCCAGAUUCAGACCUGGGGCCCGAUCUGGAGCUGGAUACAUCCAGCCCCCUGACUCCCCUCUCAAUCCUGGCUCUCCCUCUUGGCUAGCCUGGCUCCCAGCUCUUCCCAAGCCGGCAGCCUCAGCAGGAGCCUGGAGAGCAGGGUGCUAUGCUGCUGUGUUGUUCGCAGGAGCCUUGGAGGGGGUUGGUGGGAGACUGCCAGGCGCCGCUUAAUAGGAUUUUAAUUAUACAGCUCCAGUAAGAAUUUUUUCCCCCCUGGGCUUGGGCCCUCACAGGCACCUCCAUUUCUACCUCAGCAUCUUCCCAGCCCAGGCGGCCCACUCUCCCAGGCCCCCCGCUGGCAGCCCUCACCCACGGAGGGGGGACUCUGGCCUAUCUCCUAGAGGCUCAGGGAGGGCCUGGCAUCUGCCCCCCAGCAAUCUUGGGCUCCUAGGGAGGGCCUAGCUCAGGGAACUUCUCCUGGGAGAUCUACAUCCGGGACUCCUGUGGCCAGAACAGGGUGUGACAGCCACUCAGCAACCUGAUGGCCUUGGUGCUCAUUUUUCCAGGGUGAUUCUGCCCCACGCCAGGCCCUCUUGCGAUGAUUGUCUCAUGUGACGCUUGCAACUCUGGGAGGCAAGCCGGGCAGAUGGAAGUGAUAGGCUCCAUUUUACGGAUGAGGAAACCGAGGCCACAAGAGUGAGUGGCUUGCUCAAGGACACAAUGAGUAAGGAGUCGGGACUGCCGACCCGACUCCUCCAAGCUCCAUGUCCUGCCCUUAGCCUGCACUGCCACUGUGCUCCACAUCCCCAGUCAGAAAGAACUGGGUCCAUGUGCAAACCAUAGUGUCCUGAACCUUUAAUCCUAGCACUUGGGAGGUGAAGGCAGGAGAAUCAGGAGUUGAUGGAGAUCAUUUUAAGCUAUUUAGUGAACCCGGUUUGGUCUAUAUAAGACCUUGUCUCAAGCCGGGGAGGGAGAAGGCAGAGAAGAGGGGAGGGGAGGAGAGAAGAGAGAAGGAAAAGAGAAAACAAUUCCCUCGUUGCUGUCCUGUUUGGAACACAAAAUGUCUUCUCCCUUUAGUCUGAGUCAGGUUCCUUUAUUUAUGCCGUCACAGCGCCUGAGCAUGACUACCGUCACUCAGUCACACAGUGUUGCAUAGACUGGUGAUCCGAAAAGCCUAUCAUUAGCCUAGCAUGUCCUUGACCCACCAGGACAGACCUCCUGGUGCCCAGUGGCCAGGCUGUACCUGUCCAGUGACCUGCUUGAAUGCCGUUGGUCUCUUGGCGUCCUCGCCAGGCAAUGUCAACAGUCUCUGGCACUAUUAUUUUGUUUUACAUAAAAGUUUCAGAGAAUUUUCAUAUGCCCACCACCGUCCCUCCUGUUUUUGCAUACUGUAUUGGCCUAUAUCAUUUGUCUCAGCUAAGAAACUUUGACACACUAUAAACUAGCUUUAAUAUUUCAUUUGAAUUGUACCAUUAUUACACUUUUAAAUGUCAUAAGAAAUACACCGAUAUAUCUUUUUU